rnacentral:snRNA from 1 species
GUGCAUUUCAGCAGCACAUGUACUUAAAUCAGAACAAUAGAAGGAAGAUUAGCACAGCCCCUGCGCAAGGAUGACACAUGGAUUCGUGAGUCUUCUGGAUGUUUA